UGUAAGCGUAUCCCAAAGUUGUUGCAGUUAAAACGCUCGUAGUCGGAAUUUGGCAGUUCCGGAUGUGUGCACGUCGUGUGCGCACUUCGCGGGGAUUGCUUUUGUGGUCUUGCGUAGGAUGAGGCACUUUUAUUAGUGAACGUCCUCACGCAACCACUUUUUACUGUGAGAAAAUCAGAGUGCUCAAAGCAGGCAUUUGCCGUGAAUGUAUUAGCAUGGAAUAAUAGAAUAGGACUUGGUUCUAUUUUGUUGGUUUGUUGGGACUGAGUAAUGAUUAAGAGGGACAGUUGGGGGCAUUUGUAUUUCGGUGCUAGAGGUGAAAUUCUUAGAUUACCGAAAGACAAACUGCUGCGAAAGCGUCUGCCAAGGAUGUUUUCAUUGA
rnacentral:rRNA from 1 species